UGGUCUGGUAAUGUGUUCCUACCCGGGAAGU
rnacentral:piRNA from 1 species